AUUGAACGCUGGCGGCAGGCCUAACACAUGCAAGUCGACCGAGUGGCGGACGGGUGAGUAAUGUCUGGGAAACUGCCUGAUGGAGGGGGAUAAAUACUGGAAACGGUAGCUAAUACCGCAUACCAUCGGAUGUGCCCAGAUGGGAGUAGCUAGUAGGUGGGGUAAAGGCUCACCUAGGCGACGAUCCCUAGCUGGUCUGAUAGGAUGACCGGCAACACUGAAAAUUAGACACGGUCCAGACUCUGACGGGAGGCAGCAGCGGGGAAUAUUGCACAAUGGGCGCAAUCCUGAUGCAGCCAUGCCGAGGGUAUGAAGAAGGCCUUCGGGUUGUAAAGUACUUUCAGCGGGGAGGCGUUACCCGCAGAAGAAGCACCGGCUAACUCCGUGCCAGCAGCCGCGGUAAUAC
rnacentral:rRNA from 1 species